rnacentral:rRNA from 1 species
UACGAGAGGCAAGCGUUGUUCGGAUUUACUGGGCGUAAAGGGCGCGUAGGCGGCGUGACAAGUCACUUGUGAAAUCUCUGGGCUUAACCCAGAACGGCCAAGUGAAACUGUCGUGCUAGAGUGCGGAAGGGGCAAUCGGAAUUCUUGGUGUAGAGGUGAAAUUCGUAGAUAUCAAGCGGAACACCGGUGGCGAAGGCGGCCUUCUGGACGAUGACUGACGCUGAGACGCGAAAGCGUGGGGAGCAAACGGG